UUUUAUAAUAUAGAUUUGUUAAAAAAAUCUAUAUUAUAAAGCGAUUUUAUCCAUUCGUUUUAAUGAAAAAAAAGAAAGAAAAUUAAU
rnacentral:snoRNA from 15 species